AGAUUGAACGCUGGCGGCAGGCUUAACACAUGCAAGUCGAGCGGUAGCAGGUCCUUCGGGAUGCUGACGAGCGGCGGACGGGUGAGUAAUACAUAGGAAACUGCCCAGUAGUGGGGGAUAGCCCGGGGAAACCCGGAUUAAUACCGCAUACGCCCUUUGGGGGAAAGCAGGGGAUCUUCGGACCUUGCGCUAUUGGAUGUGCCUAUGUCGGAUUAGCUAGUUGGUGGGGUAAAGGCCUACCAAGGCGACGAUCCGUAGCUGGUCUGAGAGGAUGAUCAGCCACAUCGGGACUGAGACACGGCCCGAACUCCUACGGGAGGCAGCAGUGGGGAAUAUUGGACAAUGGGGGGCAACCCUGAAUCCAGCCAUGCCGCGUGUGAAGAAGGCUUUCGGGUUGUAAAGCACUUUCAGUGAGAGGAACACCUGCGAUUAAUACUCGCAGGGUCUGACGUUACUCACAGAAGAAGCACCGCUAACUCGCGCCAGCAGCCGCGU
rnacentral:rRNA from 1 species